GGAUAGGCCCCUCGCUGCUUGACCAUUGGCCAGGGGCCCCUAUAAGGAGGGGUCCCUGCGCCACUUACCAGUCUCACAACACCGCUCCCACGCUCACAGCUUGAAUACACCCAGACGACACUCUACAUGGCGUCCGUGGUUCAUUGUGCGUCCUGCUACGGCCGCUGCAGUGUGCAGCCCUUGCAGCUGUUCGGCCGGGGGGGCGGCUUGGACUACAUGUCCAUGCUUACCUACCGGGGCCCUCGGAGUGCCCCGCGGCCCGGCCUGGCCUACAAAGGCCCCCGGAUGACCCUGCGGCAGAUCUGUCGCACGCUGAAGAGCAUGAAGCAGCUCAGGAAGAAGGAGGCGGCCUUGGCAGCGGCCAGGAAGCUGGCCCCCCCUGCCCCCCUCCUGAGACGCAGACGGAACAACGCCAUCAAACGGGCUAGCUGACCCAGGGACCCCCCCCCACCCCUCCCUCCAGGAGGAGCUCUGACCAGGUCUCUGGAGGAAGGGGUUCAGUCAUCUGUCGCUCGUGUCUGAGCUCAUGCUGCCUGCUGGAACGUUGACUUGUUGUCAUUGUUUCAUAAAUGUGGAGGAGGAGUCAGGGGUUAAUUGGAUUCAUUAUUUCAUUGAGAU
rnacentral:lncRNA from 1 species